GCCCAAUACCUAGCCCACAAUACUCGCAUGAUAACACCCCCCCCCCCCCCCCCCCCAUUCUAAAACAUUUUAUUUCUUUAGUACAGGCGAUCGAAAAACUUCUAGGCGCUUCAGAUUAAGUACCGCAAGGGAAAGGUGAAAUAGUAAUGAAAUAACUUUUAAGCCUAAAACAGUAGAGAUAUUCCCUCGUACCUUUUGCAUCAUGGUCUAGCUAGUUUAACCAAGCAAAAUGUGAACUUUAGUUUGACACCCCGAAACUAAGUGAGCUACUUCAAAACAGCCUUAAAGGGCCAACCCGUCUCUGUUGCAAAAGAGUGGGAAGAUUUUCAAGUAGAGGUGAUAAGCCUACCGGACUUAGAGAUAGCUGGUUACUCAGGAAAAGAGUUUUAGUUCUGCCUUAAGCUUUCAUAUUAUUUUUUAACAAACUUUUAAACUUAAGGGUUAUUCAAGUAAGGUUCAGCUUACUUGAAACAGGACACAACCUUCAACAUCGGGUAAAUAAGGACGACCCAAACUAAGUGGGCCUAAAAGCAGCCACCUUACAAAAAGCGUUAAAGCUUAAUUUAUAAUUAACCCGUAAUUCCUAAAAUCACUAUUAACCCCUCACCUCUACUGAGUUAUUUUAUAACAUUAUAAAAGCUAUUAUGCUAGAACUAGUAACAAGAAACCGUUUUUCUCUUGAAUGUAAGCCAGAACCGUAAUAAACCCUAUCGGUAUUUAACGUAAAUGAUCAAAAUAUAGUAACUCAACUAGAAAACCCUAUUACUUUUAACGUCAAUCUUACACUAGAACAUUACAAGAAAGAUUUAAAGAAAAAGAAGGAACUCGGCAAACCUUAGCCCCGCCUGUUUACCAAAAACAUCGCCUCUUGCUCCCCAUAAGAGGUCCAGCCUGCCCAGUGACAUGAUUCAACGGCCGCGGUAUCCUAACCGUGCGAAGGUAGCGUAAUCACUUGUUCUCUAAAUAGGGACUAGUAUCAAUGGCACCACGAGGGCUACACUGUCUCCUUUUUCUAAUCAGUGAAACUGAUCUCUCCGUGAAGAAGCGGGGAUGAAUAUAUAAGACGAGAAGACCCCAUGGAGCUUUAAAUUUAAUGUACACCUCUAUGCCCAUAUCAACUUAACCAAAGACACCUGUACAAAAAUUUUAGGUUGGGGUGACCACGGAGUAUAACACAACCUCCAUGAUGAACGGGUAGAUGCCCUUAUCUAUGAGCCACCGCUCUAAGAAUCAAUAAUCUGAUGUUUAAUGAUCCGAUAACUCGAUCAACGAACAAAGUUACCCUGGGGAUAACAGCGCAAUCUACUUAAAGAGCUCCUAUCGACAAGUAGGCUUACGACCUCGAUGUUGGAUCAGGGUAUCCUAGUGGUGCAGCCG
rnacentral:rRNA from 1 species